GUGUUAGGGGGGUUUUCCGCCCCUUAGUGCAGCAGCUAACGCAUUAAGCACUCCGCCUGGGGAGUACGGUCCCAAGACUGAAACUCAAAGGAAUUGACGGGGGCCCGCACAAGCGGUGGAGCAUGUGGUUUAAUUCGAAGCAACGCGAAGAACCUUACCAGGUCUUGACAUCCUCUGACAAUCCUAGAGAUAGGACGUCCCCUUCGGGGGCAGAGUGACAGGUGGUGCAUGGUUGUCGUCAGCUCGUGUCGUGAGAUGUUGGGUUAAGUCCCGCAACGAGCGCAACCCUUGAUCUUAGUUGCCAGCAUUCAGUUGGGCACUCUAAGGUGACUGCCGGUGACAAACCGGAGGAAGGUGGGGAUGACGUCAAAUCAUCAUGCCCCUUAUGACCUGGGCUACACACGUGCUACAAUGGACAGAACAAAGGGCAGCGAAACCGCGAGGUUAAGCCAAUCCCACAAAUCUGUUCUCAGUUCGGAUCGCAGUCUGCAACUCGACUGCGUGAAGCUGGAAUCGCUAGUAAUCGCGGAUCAGCAUGCCGCGGUGGAUACGUUCCCGGGCCUUGUACACACC
rnacentral:rRNA from 1 species